rnacentral:rRNA from 1 species
UACGUAGGGUGCAAGCGUUAAUCGGAAUUACUGGGCGUAAAGCGUGCGCAGGCGGCUUUGCAAGACAGAUGUGAAAUCCCCGGGCUUAACCUGGGAAUGGCAUUUGGGACUGCAAGGCUCGAGUGCGGCAGAGGAGACUGGAAUUCCUGGUGUAGCAGUGAAAUGCGUAGAUAUCAGGAGGAACACCGAUGGCGAAGGCAGGUCUCUGGGCUGACACUGACGCUAAUGCACGAAAGCGUGGGGAGCAAACAGG